ACUUUGAUCCUGGCUCAGGACGAACGCUGGUGCCUAACACAUGCAAGUCGAGCGGAGACUUUAGCAAUAAAGUCUUGGACGGGUGAGUAACGCGUGGGCAACCUGCCUCAUACAGGGGGAUAACACUGGGAAACUAGUGCUAAUACCGCAUAAUAUCAAAAGAUGGCAUCACCUUUUGAUCAAAGGAGCAAUCCAGUAUGAGAUGGGCCCGCGUCCGAUUAGCUAGUUGGUGGUGUAAUGGACCACCAAGGCGACGAUCGGUAGCCUGAGAGGUUGAUCGGCCACAUUGGGACUGAGACACGGCCCAGACUCCUACGGGAGGCAGCAGUGGGGAAUAUUGCACAAUGGGGGAAACCCUGAUGCAGCAACGCCGCGUGAAGGAUGAAGGUUUUCGGAUCGUAAACUUCUUUAGCCAGGGACGAAGAAUGACGGUACCUGGAGAAUAAGCCACGGCUAACUACGUGCCAGCAGCCGCGGUAAUACGUAGGUGGCGAGCGUUGUCCGGAAUUACUGGGUGUAAAGGGCGUGUAGGCGGGAAUGUAAGUCAGAUGUGAAAUUCCGGGGCUCAACUCCGGGGCUGCAUCUGAAUCUUGAGUGCUGGAGAGGAAAGCGGAAUUCCUAGUGUAGCGGCGGAAUGCGUAGAGAUCCGGAAGAACACCGGUGGCGAAGGCGGCCUGCUGGGCAGUUGCUGACGCUGAGCGCGACAGCGUGGGGAGCAAACAGGAUUAGACACCCUGGCAGUCCACGAUGGGCACUAGGUGCUUGCGGGAGCGACCCCGUGAGUGCCGGCGCUAACGCAUUAAGUGCCCCGCCUGGGGAGUACGGCCGCAAGGCUGAAGCUCAAAGGAAUUGACGGGGGCCCGCACAAGCGGCAUGUGGUUUAUUCGACGCACGCGA
rnacentral:rRNA from 1 species